GGCCUCAUACAUGCAAGUCGAGCGGUCCUUCGGGACAGCGGCGAACGGGUUAGUAACGCGUGGGAACGUGCCCUUUAGUACGGAAUAGCCGUUGGAAACGAUGAUUAAUACCGUAUACGCCCCAAGGGGGAAAGAUUUAUCGCUAAAGGAUCGGCCCGCGUUAGAUUAGGUAGUUGGUAGGGUAAUGGCCUACCAAGCCGACGAUCUAUAGCUGGUUUGAGAGGAUGAUCAGCAACACUGGGACUGAGACACGGCCCAGACUUCUACGGAAGGCAGCAGUAGGGAAUCUUGGACAAUGGGCGAAAGCCUGAUCCAGCCAUGCCGCGUGAGUGAUGAAGGCCCUAGGGUUGUAAAGCUCUUUCGCCAGGGAAGAUAAUGACGGUACCUGGUAAAGAAACCCCGGCUAACUCCGUGCCAGCAGCCGCGGUAAUACGGAGGGGGUUAGCGUUGUUCGGAAUUACUGGGCGUAAAGCGCACGUAGGCGGAUUAAUAAGUCAGGGGUGAAAUCCCGAGGCUCAACCUCGGAACUGCCUUUGAUACUGUUAAUCUUGAGUUCGAGAGAGGUGAGUGGAAUUCCGAG
rnacentral:rRNA from 1 species